AUUAUAGUUGAGGAUCUGAAUCAACCUCGUCAAAUGCUUGUGGAGAUGCUUUGCGAGGAACGGGGCUUAUUUUUGGAAAUAGCUGACAUUAUAAGAGGUUUGGGCUUGACAAUCCUGAAGGGUGUGAUGGAAACAAGGAACGACAAAAUAUGGGCACAAUUUGCUGUAGAGGCAAACAGAGAUGUCACAAGGAUGGAGAUAUUCAUCUCACUUGUUCGCCUCUUGGAGCAAACAUCAAAAGGCGCAGAGGAAUCUGCUAAGGCCAUUGAUAACAACACAGCAAUGGUGCAUUCGUAUCAUCAAGCAGCGUCCAUACCUGCAACAGGUAGUAGACCCUGUAAUUAACAAUGCUCAACACUCGAGAGA
rnacentral:misc_RNA from 1 species